ACCCUUAGACGCUCCGGGCGGCACGCGCGCUACAUUGAAUUAUAGAGGUUGGAACACGUUCUGUAAGGAUUUGUUCACCAUAAAUUUAUUUGGAAAUGGGAUAGGCAAUUGCAAUUUUUUGUUUUUAACUUGGAAUCCCUUGUAGUCACGGUUGAGAUUAUCGUGCUGAAUACGUCCCUGCUGUUUGUACACACCGCCCGUCGUUUCUUCCGACUGGCGCCAACCGUGAGUUGUGUGGAUAUGUUAAUUUUUAGAGCUGCUGCAAGCGCUUGGUGUUGGAGGAAGAAAAAGUCGUAACA
rnacentral:rRNA from 1 species